rnacentral:sRNA from 1 species
AGAAGAAAGAGUUAGGGAGAAAUUUUUAGUUGCAAGAAGAGUAGAGGUUCUGAAGGGUUUUCGGAAAAACAAAUUCGGAGUAAGAGAAGUCUGGAAUAGAGAUGAAGGAAUGUCGUCUGAUCCAGUGCCAAUGAAGAAAUAGAAGAAUAAAUUAGAAGAAUUUGAGUUAUAUUUAUGAGUUUGUAGUUGAAAUCUGAGUUUAAAAACAUAUGUAUAGAUAUAUAUCAACUAUAAAUUUUCAAGUGUGAGAUUACGGGAUAUUACCGUAAAUGUGAU